rnacentral:lncRNA from 1 species
UAGAUGUCAAUCCCAUAUAUUUUUUUGAGAAAAAGAUAACAUGUUACUCGCUUUAUUUAUUGAAAAAGUGAACUAGGCUAUAUGGAUGAGACAACACAGACCUUUAAAAAGGCGAAAAUAAUAAUAAUAAUAAUAAUAAUAAGCUGAUUAAUCUUUCAGAUGUCCAGAAAAAAAUUCCACCCAUUGAGACAAUAGUAUGUAUUGAUCUACACUUCUAUUCGUUUCGUUUUGGUUGCAAUGUUCAUUAAUUAUUUAAGAAAAAAUUUUAAAUGCCACUUCCGUAAUUUUGCUUUUUUUUAUUUUAGUACUCAGUAGUUUAGAGUGUAUCAAUUUAGUAUCCCGUGGUUUCAUUUUUUUUCUUUUUAUUAUUUCCUCCACUAAUUUUUUUUCAUUAAAUUAGUGACAAAGUUAAAACUAAAAGGUACUAAAGUAAAUAUUCGAUAAAGUUAGGUGGAGUAUUUAAAAUUUUUUGAACAUAAUUUAAUAAAAUAUUAACAGAGUACUAAAUUGAUACACUUUCAAUUAUAGAGUAUUGAAGUAAGAACGUGUGAAACUACAUAAACGAUAUUUGAAGUUUAUCUAUUAUUUAAUGCUGUUAUUUGAUUUUAUACUGGUUAAGGAGUCCCGCGCGAUGCGGCGGGAAGAUAAUACUAAAUUAUUAUAAUUAUUAAUAUUUUUUUUCUAUUAUGUAUUAAUAUUUUUAAAUAUUACUUAUCUCAGUAUUAAAUAAUAAAAAAUUAAAGAAUAAAUUAAAGUAGAUUUCUUUCUAAAAAUAUUUAAAUCUUAUAUAAAUAAAAUCUUAAAAAAAUUGUGUGGACCCCACAACCCUCUAAAAUAAGGAGAAGCAUUCUUUAGUGUUGCCAUUUCAUAUAUGUUUUGAGGACUAAAGUGAAAAAUAUGCAAAAUUUAGAGAUCAAGAUUGGCAUGCAAAAAAAAGUUAAAUAGACGAUGGCAUUAUAAUUUCGUUAAUUCUAAAAUAUUUUUUAACGGUUACUAUUUUAUCGCGAUGAAAUUAAGAGAUUUGAAAAAAUUUAGGAACAAAAAAAAAAUAGUGAAAAGUUUGGGAAACAUUAUACAAUUAAUCCUAAAAAAAUUGUGGGCCGCACAACCCUCUAAAAUAAAGGAAAAUCUUUUUUGGAUUUCCAAUUAGAUGAAAUUUAAUUUUAUUAUCUUGACUAUUAAAAUAUAAAAUUUCUAAAAUUUUAUAUUUGAUGUAGAAAAAAAUUUUGAUAUUUAUUAAAUAAAAUUUUAAUUUUAUUAUAUUGACUAUUAAAAGAUAGAAUUAAUUUAUGCGAUAAAAUUUUAUAUUUACUGUAAGAAAAAAUUAAAAGAAAAGUUGUUGAGAAAAAAAAAAAAAAAAAAAAAAAAAA